AGAGCGAACGCUGGCGGCAGGCCUAAUACAUGCAAGUCGAACGCACCUUCGGGUGAGUGGCGGACGGGUGAGUAACACGUGGGAACGUGCCUUUUGGUUCGGAAUAAUCCGGGGAAACCUGGCCUAAUACCGGAUGUGCCCUUCGGGGGAAAGAUUUAUCGCCAUUAGAGCGGCCCGCGUCUGAUUAGCUUGUUGGUGGGGUAACGGCCCACCAAGGCGACGAUCAGUAGCUGGUCUGAGAGGAUGAUCAGCCACACUGGGACUGAGACACGGCCCCAGACUCCUACGGGAGGCAGCAGUAGGGAAUCUUGCGCAAUGGGCGAAAGCCUGACGCAGCCAUGCCGCGUGAAUGAUGAAGGUCUUAGGAUUGUAAAUUCUUUCAGCGGGAAGAUAAUGACUGUACCGCAGAAGAGCUCCGGCUAACUUCGUGCCAGCAGCCGC
rnacentral:rRNA from 1 species